ensembl:lncRNA
AAUGCUUCCUCUCCAAGGUUGAAUUCUGAGCCUUGGGGACACAGCUCCUGAGACCUUUGCCAUGUUGGGGAGUGAUAACAUCUGAUACAGGCUCUGGAAUCCCUGGACAUUCCUGGGAGAUAGCAGCAGCUUUUGUUCUGCUAAGAAAGAUGCUGUCUGGGCUACUAGGAAACGCUCCCCCCAUCUCCCGCCGUGAUGGGAGGCUGAUGUGAAACACAAGAGCAGUGACAGUCCCACCACCUGGAAGUUAGCACAGUCCCCCCAGCCAGUGGCUGCCUCCACACCUCCAGCACUGGCCUGGGACCCAGUCCUGAGCGAGUGCCACAAAAGCUGUGAGGCGUCAGCAGCAGUGCUGCUUUACUGCCAAGCAGCUGGGACAGGUGGAGCAGAAGCCAUCUGUGCUCUGG